rnacentral:rRNA from 1 species
AUGGGGUCCUGCCCUUCGGUCAAGAACAUCCUCGUGCUGGACGCGGAGGGGAAGCGCGUGGCCGUCAAGUACUACGCCGACGACUGGCCCUCCGCGGCCUCCAAGUUGGCUUUCGAGAAGUCGCUCUUCGUGAAGACCCAGAAGACCAGCGCCAGAGCAGAGGCUGAUGUGGUAAUGUUUGAUGGCUACAUUAUUGUGUACAAGUUCAUCCAAGAUCUCCAUUUUUUUGUAACUGGAGGGGAUGAGGAGAAUGAGCUCAUUUUAGCGUCAGUUCUUCAGGGGUUUUCUGAUGCUGUUGGCGUUCUUCUCAGAAACAAUGUAGACAAAAGGACUGCACUUGAAAAUCUGGAUCUCAUCUUUUUGUGCCUUGACGAAGUUGUUGAUGGAGGGAUUGUUCUGGAAACGGAUGGAAAUGUGAUAGCCGAGAAGGUGUCAGGCCAUGGAUUGGAAGGAGCUGGGUCGUUCACUGAGCAGACGAUAAGCCAAGCCCUAGCGACAGCAAGAGAGCACUUCGCGAGGUCUCUUCUGAAGUAG